AUUGAACGCUGGCGGCAGGCUUAACACAUGCAAGUCGAGCGGGGGAAGGUAGCUUGCUACCGGACCUAGCGGCGGACGGGUGAGUAAUGCUUAGGAAUCCGCCUAUUAGUGGGGGACAACAUCUCGAAAGGGAUGCUAAUACCGCAUACGUCCUACGGGAGAAAGCAGGGGAUCUUCGGACCUUGAGCUAAUAGAUGAGCCUAAGCAGGAUUAGCUAGUUGGUUGGGUAAAGGCCUACAAAGGCGACGAUCUGUAGCGGGUCUGAGAGGAUGAUCCGCCACACUGGGACUGAGACACGGCCCAGACUCCUACGGGAGGCAGCAGUGGGGAACAUUGGACAAUGGGGGGAACCCUGAUCCAGCCAUGCCGCGUGUGUGAGGAAGGCCUUAUGGUUGUAAAGCACUUUAAGCGAGGAGGAGGCUACUUUAGUUAAUACCUAGAGAUAGUGGACGUUACUCGCAGAAUAAGCACCGGCUAACUCUGUGCCAGCCGCCGCCGUAA
rnacentral:rRNA from 1 species